rnacentral:rRNA from 1 species
AUUGAACGCUGGCGGCAGGCUUAACACAUGCAAGUCGAGCGGAGAUGAGGUGCUUGCACCUUAUCUUAGCGGCGGAUGGGUGAGUAAUGCUUAGGAAUCUGCCUAUUAGUGGGGGACAACAUUCCGAAAGGAAUGCUAAUACCGCAUACGUCCUACGGGAGAAAGCAGGGGAUCUGCGGACCUUGCGCUAAUAGAUGAGCCUAAGUCGGAUUAGCUAGUUGGUGGGGUAAAGGCCUACCAAGGCGACGAUCUGUAGCGGGUCUGAGAGGAUGAUCCGCCACACUGGGACUGAGACACGGCCCAGACUCCUACGGGAGGCAGCAGUGGGGAAUAUUGGACAAUUGGGGGAACCCUGAUCCAGCCAUGCCGCGUGUGUGAAGAAGGCCUUAUGGUUGUAAAGCACUUUAAGCGAGGAGGAGGCUACUGAGACUAAUACUCUUGGAUAGUGGACGUUACUCGCAGAAUAAGCACCGGCUAACUCUGUGCCAGCAGCCGCGGUAA